GGAAACCCUAAAUUUAGGAUCAAAUUCGUUGCGAUAUGGCAGGAGGUGAUGAUGCGUCACGACUGGAGACGGGAGUGUGGUGGGACCUCAACACGUGUCCGGUUCCCGCUGGUGUUGACCCUCUUUGUGUCCGUCGGUGUAUAGAAACUGCGUUGGAGAAGAAGAUUGGUCGUGCUUCUGCAGUCAGCAUCUAUGCCAUGGGCAACCUAGAAUACAUCUGUAGUUACUUCUUGGAACAGAUCUCUUACUCUGGAAUCAUUCUUAUUCACGCCCCCUGAAGUGUGAUGGAAUUAUAUGGUUUUCUC